rnacentral:lncRNA from 1 species
CCUGAAACCCUACAAUGGUAUCAGAACCGGCCUUGUUUGGUUCAAUCAUAUAUAUACAAUGUUUAUGUGAUGCAUAUUAUGAUUUAUGCUAUAAAAUUAAUUAUGCUAUGAAUUAUGCUUUCAUAUAAUGAUAUGAAUUGAUGCAUAUCUGAUCUACCACUUCAUCAUUCUGAAAUAAGGUUGUCCUAGCAUAACGGGAUUAUGCUGCAAAGUUGUCUUAGGA